rnacentral:rRNA from 1 species
UACGGAGGGCGCGAGCGUUGUUCGGAAUCAUUGGGCGUAAAGCGCGUGUAGGCGGCUUGGCAAGUCGAGUGUGAAAGCCCGGGGCUCAACCCCGGAACUGCGCUCGAAACUGCCUCGCUAGAGUCCCGGAGGGGAGGGCGGAAUUCCCGGUGUAGAGGUGAAAUUCGUAGAUAUCGGGAGGAACACCAGUGGCGAAGGCGGCCCUCUGGACGGUGACUGACGCUGAGACGCGAAAGCGUGGGGAGCAAACAGG